AUUGAACGCUGGCGGCAGGCCUAACACAUGCAAGUCGAACGAGUGGCGGACGGGUGAGUAAUGUCUGGGCAACUGCCCGAUGGAGGGGGAUAACUACUGGAAACGGUAGCUAAUACCGCAUACCAUCGGAUGUGCCCAGGGGGGGUUAGGUAGUAGGUGGGGUAACGGCUCACCUAGGCGACGCUCCCGAGCUGGUCUGAGAGGAUGACCAGCCACACUGGAACUGAGACACGGUCCAGACUCCUACGUUAGGCAGCAGUGGGGAAUAUUGCACAAUGGGCGCAAGCCUGAUGCAGCCAUGCCGCGUGUAUGAAGAAGGCCUUCGGGUUGGAAAGUACUUUCAGCGGGGAGGCGUUACCCGCAGAAGAAGCACCGGCUAACUCCGUGCCAGCAGCCGCGGUAAUUC
rnacentral:rRNA from 1 species